UCGAACGGUAACAGGAAGCAGCUUGCUGCUUUGCUGACGAGUGGCGGACGGGUGAGUAAUGUCUGGGAAACUGCCUGAUGGAGGGGGAUAACUACUGGAAACGGUAGCUAAUACCGCAUAACGUCGCAAGACCAAAGAGGGGGACCUUCGGGCCUCUUGCCAUCGGAUGUGCCCAGAUGGGAUUAGCUAGUAGGUGGGGUAACGGCUCACCUAGGCGACGAUCCCUAGCUGGUCUGAGAGGAUGACCAGCCACACUGGAACUGAGACACGGUCCAGACUCCUACGGGAGGCAGCAGUGGGGAAUAUUGCACAAUGGGCGCAAGCCUGAUGCAGCCAUGCCGCGUGUAUGAAGAAGGCCUUCGGGUUGUAAAGUACUUUCAGCGGGGAGGAAGGCGUUGAGGUUAAUAACCUUGGCAAUUGACGUUACCCGCAGAAGAAGCACCGGCUAACUCCGUGCCAGCAGCCGCGGUAAUACGGAGGGUGCAAGCGUUAAUCGGAAUUACUGGGCGUAAAGCGCACGCAGGCGGUCUGUCAAGUCGGAUGUGAAAUCCCCGGGCUCAACCUGGGAACUGCAUUCGAAACUGGCAGGCUAGAGUCUUGUAGAGGGGGGUAGAAUUCCAGGUGUAGCGGUGAAAUGCGUAGAGAUCUGGAGGAAUACCGGUGGCGAAGGCGGCCCCCUGGACAAAGACUGACGCUCAGGUGCGAAAGCGUGGGGGAGCAAACAGGAUUAGAUACCCUGGUAGUCCACGCCGUAAACGAUGUCGACUUGGAGGUUGUGCCCUUGAGGCGUGCUUCCGGAGCUAACGCGUUUAAGUCGACCGCCUGGGGAGUACGGCCGCAAGGUUAAAACUCAAAUGAAUUGACGGGGGCCCGCACAAGCGGUGGAGCAUGUGGGUUUAAUUCGAUGCACGCGAAGAACCUUACCUACUCUUGACAUCC
rnacentral:rRNA from 1 species